UUCGGGCUGUGGUUGCAAGUCGAUGCCAGUCGCAGGCGAAACGAUCCACGUAAGCGGGCCAAAGCGCCCGUGAGCAUGGUGCGGCUUAGAUGUAAGUCCGUCCGCAUCCCCUUUGGGGCUGCGAGAGAAGUAGUAGUGGGCGGCACAUUGCCUAGUAGCGAACCUUCCAGACGGCGGGUGUGGGGUCAAAGACCAGGUCAGCCGAA
rnacentral:ncRNA from 2 species